rnacentral:sRNA from 1 species
AGGAAUCUCUGGGAAAGCUGACCACUGGAGAUGCUUGUGUCUCUACCAGCUGUGCACUAGCCAGUGCUCUGUCCCAUCCGGAUGCCAGCCACCUCACAGAGAACCUGCCCAAAGCUGCAUCAGAGCUGGGGCAACAACCCAUGACUGGCUCUUCUACACCCGACAUCACUUGGAGAGGCUGCUGGGCCUUCCACCCCACGGAUGUGCUGUAACGAGUCAACCUUCCUCCCAUGAUUGGGCAUUUCGAAUGUUUCCAGAGAAAAGGUUGUCUUGAAAGGUGACAACCAAAGGCUGCCUCAGUGUAACCUCGUCUCCCUCAGAUGAAGACCUUUUAAGUUACAGACUUUGC